rnacentral:lncRNA from 1 species
CCCGACCUCAACCCAGUUGAGAUGGUUUGGGGGGCUCGAUAUGGGAACCGGAACUGGGGAUAAGUAUUUGUAAGACAGUUCCCUGACCCACUGAGCGGACCGAUAGGGGGCUAAAUUCCACUCGCUCUGUCAAAGAGGAACACAGAAAUCACUUCCCACUGCUUCAGAAGCCAGAGAGGAGAGAGGAAGAGGAAGGAAGGUGACGUUGCUAAGUGACUGGUCUUCAACACUAGAACCACUCUCCUUCCUACUGGCCUCUCAAACUAACACAGCCAAGUGCAUCCAAACAAGCUAAAGAUUUAAUUAUUCACUUUUAUCAACAACAUUUCCUGUUGAACUGUCCAAACACGGGAGGGAGGCUUUAGUUUGCUUUCUCCUCUAAGUCUUUAGAGAACACUGCAUCUUCAUGUAAACCUGCUUUGAUAGAGUAGCGGCUCAAUGAGAGCUUUGUUUUGGGCACCAUUUAAUCCUUUCUGCUCCCUUCUAAUCAAUGGACACUUAGCAAACUUAGGAGAAAAGAGGCAGUUACAAAACUGACCUGGUGUCCAUUUAACACAUCAGAAAGCGGUUGGCUUGAGUUUUGGACAUCAUGCUAUGUCAUUCUCCCCCACUUGGCAUAGAUACUGUACCAGUGUCCAAUUCAGAUGGCAAUGUGACAACGAUCCAAUUACAUAAAAACUAUGAAUAAACACUUAGCUGAUGAAAAUAGAAGCUAGGAGAAUCAGCUGGACAUAGUGGUGAAUGGUGGUCUUCAGGCAGCACUUACAUGAUCAAACAACCAUAGUCCCUCCUGAGAAGAAACAUAUGGGAAUGUUCUGUAAACAAACACAGAACAAGGAAGCGUAAGCAUCAGGAACCUCCCACAAUGCAUUGCUCAACAGGGAUGUGAUAAUAAUGCAUGGAAUACUGUAUAAAGCUAAAGUCACGGUGCUGCAGACAGAGGACAACUUUUGAGAACUCACCUCAUUGUUAUAUAUGAGGUGGCGGUGAAAUAGUGAAAGUAUUAACGCUGUUGCACAGGGCUGAAAGUCUAAACUGAUAUCAAACAAUUAACUUCCUGGACUUCAACUCCAACUUCCUGAUCUGAAUAUUGUUUCCUUGAAGGUCACCGUCUGUUUCAUAAAUAUCUCCCUGAUAACCUCUCUUCAGACUUAAUUAAAGCAGAGGAAAGACUACCUCACGCAGUAAUGGGGAGUUUAUCAUUGACCUUCUGACAGGGCUAUUGGCCUCCAUUGGCCAUGUCAUCGCCCCCAUCUGAAACACCAUUGUACUGGGGUGGACACAAUUUGCCACUACCGCUAAUGACCAUUAGACUCUCUUUCAAAGAAGCAGAGGAAAUGGCUUAUCAGUAGAGUGGACUGAUCAAGUUAUUUGGAUCUCUUCUCAUUAUUGAGGACAUUCAGAGAGUUCGUCUGGUCCUCUCUGCUUUGUAGGACCAGAUACAGGGAAUUAUACUGUAAUAAUGCUGUUAUCGCAUUGUGGGAUGUUUUUCUGAGGUGCAUUGAAUUGGGCCUGAGAUGGAAAUCUGUUUCAUGGUCCUCAUGGUGUGUGUUGUAUAGUGGAGUUAGAAGAUUAAUAAGGGGAAUAAAAGACUGUUGAAAGGCUGUUGAACUGAGAGCUAUGUGUUGUGUUCACUUCCCAACUGCACGGACACUCGAGAUGUUGUUAAUCGGAUUGUCUUCUCUUUGAAAUGUUGAAAAACAUAAAGGGGCAAUGUCAGAUUUCAACUGUCAGUUCAUGACUUGAUACAAUCUGGCCCUGGUAUCAAUAAGUAAUGGGUUGGUUUUCUUAAAUACUGGAAAACUUCACCACAGUAGUUUAUGAUACUAUCAUGGCUCAUGGCUGUAUAUCUUAUAUAAACUGUAGCUUUAAUUAUAUGACUUGUAUAAUAGCUUGAAAGACUGGCCCCUAAUUGCAUGACUAUCCCUGCAAUGAACCGAGGCGCAGUCAAUUC